AUCAAUUUCUGUCACUGUACAAAUGAUCCAAAAACAAAAAACAAACUGAAAGACCCCCAAAGUGGGGAGACCUUCACUCAAGUCUUGGGAUGAUGCGACCUCCCAAGAACUCACGAGAGACC
rnacentral:pre_miRNA from 14 species